rnacentral:lncRNA from 1 species
AAAAAGGUCGCCCAUUACGCACAACACGGUAUCAAUAUAUCUACACACACAACACAUAUUAUAUUUAAUGAAGUUCUUUUAUAACAGUCCAUUACAUUCAUGACUGAACAUUUAGAGCAUAGAGUUUUUCUUUUUCACCCCUACUUUGUUCCUAUCCAUAUUCGUCUUCGUUAUCUAUUUCUGGGUCAUCAGCACCUUAAUCAUC